rnacentral:lncRNA from 1 species
GCAUACUUCAUUAUUGAUAUUUCCAUUGUCUAAAUUACAUAUAUUAUUUCUUCCUCCUUACAACUAGCAAGCCAUUAGGAUAGGAAGAAUAAUCACGACGUACGCUCCUUUGGAUGAACCAUCCUGAUCAAAGGAUAAUCACAACAGAAAGGCAGGAGUAUUUCUCUCUCUGUUUUCGAUUUCUUUCCUAAAAGCUAUUUUUCUUAUUUUCUUGUCUAGUUUUGGAAAAUGAAGUUUCUUGAGCCUGCCUGAUUAGGUUUCCAUCCUUUGGAUGAACCAUCCUGAUCUAUGAAUCCAGACCUGCUUUUUCCUUUUCCUUUUAUUUUUUUAUUGGCUGUUAGCAUAUAUAAUUCAUGUCUUGGUUGACUAGUUUCUUUUGGUAAGUGGGAUCAUAGAGCACUAUGUACAUCCCUCAGAAAGUUUAUGCCAUCUUUGGUUUUGAACGAGAGAAUUAACCUUUUUAGACAAUUCUUUUCAGCUUUGUUUGAAUUAAUAAAAUUGAAUAACUGGCUUGGAAUUUCUAGAUAAGUGACUUUUGAGAGGUAGUAUAUUUGAAACAUAUCUCUUACAUGGUUGGGGACUGUCCAUUUUAGUGUUUACUCUUCAGCAUCAAUGUGAGAAGCUAUCGAGAUUUAUAUACCUUAUAAGAAAGUGGAAUUCAUCCUUUCCACUCCAAGAAAUAAUUCAUAAAUUUCGAAUUCCUAAAAAUUAUACAUAUAUACAUAAUUCAACUCUAAUAAAAAAGAAAAAUCCAAAUACCACCGUUGAAUCCACCAACCAAAAUCAAACCCAAAUUGGAGUUGGACUGAGAGAAAGAGGCUUUGUCAUGUUGAGAGCAAAAAAGACGUUUCGAUAGUGAGAGGAGAAGAAAGGGAGAGAAAGGGGACUGAGAGAAAGAAAAGAGAGGGAUGAAACGAAGAGGAAGGUGGGGGAAGAAGAAAAGAUAAGAAAUGGUAGGUCAAACCAAAACAACUUAAACCACUAAAAUUGUUAAUUAAAAAUUGAUAAAUAAAUGUGAUUAUAUAUUUUCGAAUUAAUUAUCAAAUAACAUUAUUAUUAUUAUUAUUAUAGUUGGUUUUGUUAUUUUUUAAAUAUAAUAACGUCUAAUAUAAUUUAUCAUUAUUGGUCUCAAUCUGGCGAAGUCAUGGAUGCCGUUGUGGUUGAAAUUUUGAUACCAUAUAGACUUUUUGUGAACUUUCUGAUUGUCAUGGCAUAAACCAAGAAUUGUUUUCCUUCAUUUUGCAUACAGAUUAUUGUUUCCUUAUCUGUUUUAAAUUGUGUUGAAGUGA